GUUGCUGGGAAACAUCUGCCGACGCCUGCGGACCGGCCGACAUGGCGNNNNNNNGGCGGCCUUCCUGCUCCUCGCGGCCCAGGUGAGGCUGCGUCGGCCCCGCCGGCCCCGCCGGUUGCGGCACCCGGGCCCUCUGCCCCAGCCCCGCGCAAGCCCCGACUGGCCUGGCCUGGGGGCCCGCCUCGGGUUUGCGCGCCUCCAGCGCGGCUGGCCCCCAGGCCCGGAGCUCGGCCGUGACCUUGCGGGCCUGUCCCCGGCCAGCCUCUCUUUCCUGCCUUGGAGCCUUCCCCAGCUGCAGCGUCACUCAGCUGUGCCGGGGUCUGAAGUUUGGGAAUUCCCUUACCUCCUCAGGCCCUGCUCUGUCUCGAGGUCUCCAACCGCCGCCGGGGGCGCCGCUGCCUGGCCCCGUGGCCUUGGGCAGGGGGCUGCCCCUCCCCGAGCCUCAGUUUCCCCUUGCGCGCGUUGUUAGCGCCCACCCCCGUGGUUGCGGUGAGCCGUCCAACGCGGCACCCAGUGCCUGACUGUGUCCGGGAGCGGCAAGGGGCCCAUCCUGGGAGUGGGGUCGAAUCGCCGCCCUGCAUUUUGUCCCGUGACCUUGGGCAAGGGAGGUCCCCUCUUUGGCCGUCUGUUGCGCUUCUGCAAAAGGAAGAGAGGAGCACAGCGAGGACUGAGCGGGAUGAUGCAUGGGGUGAUUUACGUGCGGCGUGCAUCUUCUUGGGCACUUAAGUGAAGGGUCUCCCCGGGGAGUGGGGGACCUGCCAUGAGCCGGCUAUGUACGUUAUCAUAAGCGCCUUUUUUAUUUUCAAGUCCUCUCUCCCCUGGGUUAUGCAGUUCAGGGAAUGGUGUCCCUACAGCCCUGCACCCACAGCCAUUAACCUUGAUGUAUCCACUCCAGCCCACCACCUCCACGUAUCUCCUGGUGGCCAGUGUUCUCUCUGUGGUCACUUUCGUCUCCCACAUUCUCCAAUCCAUCCUGGACACAGCAGGAGUGACCUCUUUGAAAGUGUGUCAAGUCUCGUGGCAUCCAGAUGAGAGCCUUCCCAUGGCUUUCAGUGCAUUUGGGAGGCCUCUGUGGUUUGGCUGCUUGGGAAGAAACUUCCUCUCCUUUUCUAUUUGCGGAGGGCACUCAGUUCUCUGGUCUUCCCCGUUUCCCUGGGAUGCCCCUGGUCAUCCUUGUGGUCUCAGCUUGCUUGUUCUUCCCUCCUCCCCAGAGACGCUCUCUGGGACGCCCCCUCCCCAGCCCCCAGCACUCCUCCCGAUGCUGCUCACUCAUUUCCUCGUCUGAGCAAGCUGAGGGCAGGGACUUUGAGCUCUCCAGACAUUUUGAAGGAGAACAAAGUGAGAAGUGGACAAAGGGCAAUGGGAGCACCAUGGAGAGAGUGACCUGGUUUGCUUGGGGAGGCUUUUCAGAAGCAGAGGCACCUAAAGGGUGUUCUGAAGGGUGGAUAAGAGUUUGCCAGGUCUCUCUCUCUCUCUCUCUCUCUCUCUCACACACACACACACACACACACACACACACACCAAAAAAAAAAAAAAAAAGUCCACGCUCCUGGAUAGGAAGAACAAAUAUUGUUAAAACGUCGCUAACUACUGAAAGCAAUCUACAUAUUCAAUGCAUUACCUAGCACUGAAUGCAUUACCCCAGGAUUGUUCAUGGAGCUAGAACAAACAAUCCUACAAUUUGUACGGAACCAGAAGAGACCCCGAAUAGCCAAUGCAAUCCUAAAAAAGAAAACUAAGGCUGGAGGCAUCACAAUCCCAGACUUCAAGCUGUAUUACAAAGCUGUAGUCAUCAAGACAGUAUGGUACUGGCACAAAAACAGACACUCAGAUCAAUGGAACAGAAUAGAGAACCCAGAUAUGGACCCACAGACGUAUGGCCAACUAACCUUUGAUAAAGCAGGAAAGAAUAUCCAGUGGAAUAAAGACAGUCUCUUCAGCAAGUGGUGCUGGGAAAACUGGACAGCGACAGGCAGAAGAAUGAACCUGGACCACUUUCUUAAACCAGACACAAAAAUAAACUCAACAUGGAUGACAGACCUAAACGUAAGACAGGAAGCCGUCAAAAUCUGAGGAGAAAGCAGGCAAAAACCUCUUUGAUCUUGGCCGCAGCAACUUCUUACUCAACACGUCUCCAGAGGCAAGGGAAACAAAAGCAAAAAUGAACUACUGGGACCUCAUCCAAAUAAAAAGCUUCUGCAUAGCGAAGGAAACAAUCAGGAAAACUGAAAGGCAGCUGACGGAAUGGGAAAAGUAUUUGCAAAUGACAUAUCAGAUAAAGGGUUAGUAUCCAAAAUCUAUAAAGAACUUAUCAAACUCAACACCCAAAAAACAAAUAAUCCAUGGGCAAAAGAGCUGAACAGACACUUCUCCAAAGAAGACAACCAGAUGGCCAACCGACACGUGAAAAAAUGCUCCACAUCACUCAUCAUCAGGGAAAUACAAAUCAAAACCACAAGGAGAUACCACCUCGCGCCUGUCAGAAUGUCUAACAUUAACAGCUCAGGCAACACAGAUGUUGGCGAGGAUGCAGACGAAGAGGAUCUCUUUUGCACUGCUGGUGGGAAACAGCCACUCUGGAAAACAGUCUGGAGCUUCCUCAAAAAACGAAAAAUAGAACUACCCUACAACCCAGCAAUUGCACUACUAGGCAUUUAUCCACGGGAUACAGGUGUGCUGUUUCGAAGGGACACUUGCACCCCUAUGUUUAUAGCAGCCCUAUCAACAAUAGCCAAAGUGUGGAAAGAGCCCAAAUGUUCAUUGACGGAUGAAUGGAUAAAGAAGAUGUGGUAUAAUACAAUGGAGUAUUACUCAGCAAUCAAGAAGAAUGAAAGCUUGCCAUUUGCAACAGUGUGGAUAGAACUAGAGUGUAUUAUGCUAAGGGAAAUUAGUGAGAGAAAGACAAAUAUGUGACUUCACUCGUGGAAGGGAAGCAAAAAUAAUACAAAUACAGGGAGGGGGACAAAAUAUAAGACUUUUUUUUUUUUUAAUGUUUAUUUUUGACAGAGACAGAGACAGAGUAGAAGCGGGGUGGGGCAGAGAGAGAGACACAGGAUCUGAAGCAGGCUCCAGGCUCUGAGCUGUCUGCACAGAGCCUGACGUGGGGCUCGAACUCAAGAACCGCGAGAUCGUGACCUGAGCCGAAGUCAGACGCUUAACCAACUGAGCCACUCAGGCGCCCCAAGAGACUCUUAAAGAUAGAGAACAAACUGAGGGCUGCUGGAGGGGUUGCGGGUGGGGGGAUGCGCUAAAUGGGCAAGGGGCAUUAAGGAGGACACUUGUUGGGAUGAGCACUCAGUGUUAUACGUAGGGGAUGAAUCACUGAAUUCUACUGAAAUCAUUGCACUAUAUGCUAACUAACUUGGAUGCAAAUUAAAAAUAAAUAUAUUAUUUUUAAAAAACGGGGAAAUUAAAAGCCGAAGCAAAUGUGACAAAAUAUUAAAGUGAGUUGAGGGGCGUCUGGGUGGCUCAGUUGGUUAAGCGUCUAGCUUGGGCUCAGGUCAUGAUCUCACAGUUCGUGAGUUCGAGCCCCAUGUCGGGCUCUGUGCUGACAGAGCCUGGAGCCUGUUUCAGAUUCUGUGCCUCCCUCUCUCUCUGCCCCUCCCCUGCUCACACUCUGUCUCUCUUUCAAAAAUAAACAAUAAAAAAAUACAGUGAGCUGAGCUGAGUACGUAUUUCAUACUAUCUCAUAAUAUAGUUAUUUUAUAAUAAAAAUAAAAAUUGUAGUAAGUAAAUAAUACAAAAUUAAGUAAAUAACUUCACAUUAAAAAAAAAAAGUUUGCUAGGUCUCAAGGCAGAGGGAGGGUGUUGCCGGUGAUGGGAGGAGCUUGAACAGGGGUGGAGGUGUGAGAGCUGAUAUUUUAUUUUGAGAAGGUGAAGAGGCCACUUUGGCGUGUAGGAUGAUAUCAUGCUCACGCCCUGAGAAAGACGACACCCCCAAGGAGGCCCUUCGGAUGCACUUGAAGGAGGCUCGCGGGAGGGCAGGGGGAGGGGCAGCGGUGGGCGUGGCUGGCGGCCGAGGGUAAAGGGCAGGCUUCGCCGCGGCCUCCUGGGCGGACCGAGGAGGGCAGUGCUCCCGGUGCUGGGGCGUUCGGGCUCUCUCCCGGGCGGGACCUCGACCUGCGCGCCAGCCGCGGAGAGCCUUGUGCGUGCCCUUCGCGGAACACGGCCCGGUCGGGUCUGUUGGCCGUGAGACGGGGCAGACGGCCCUUGGGCGUGCGGGUGUGGCUCUCUCUAGAAGUUUGGGUCCUGCUGCCUGGGAAGAAGACUAGCUUUCCACCGGGUAGGAGGCUGCUUGCCGACAGCCCUGAAUUCAUUUGCUACCAUUUUGUGACCCUGGCUGGGGGAUUCCCCAGAUAGACACAUCUCCCCCAGUGGCUACCGGAAGUGUACUGUCAAGGCCAGUAACAGACCCGGAGCAAAGUUGGUUCCCUCCCCGCCCCGGUACUCCCUUCCCCCUCCUCCACCUGUCUCCCCUCCUCUACUGGCCCCCCCUCCCCACCUGUCCCCUCUGCUCCUCCUGCACCUGUCUUCCUCUCCUCUAUCAGCCCAGGCCCUCCUCCACCUGUCCCCUCUUCUCCACCUGUCUUCACUCCUCCUCCANNNNNNNNNNNNNNNNNNNNNNNNNNNNNNNNNNNNNNNNNNNNNNNNNNNNNNNNNNNNNNNNNNNNNNNNNNNNNNNNNNNNNNNNNNNNNNNNNNNNNCCCCCAGUGGCUACCGGAAGUGUACUGUCAAGGCCAGUAACAGACCCGGAGCAAAGUUGGUUCCCUCCCCGCCCCGGUACUCCCUUCCCCCUCCUCCACCUGUCUCCCCUCCUCUACUGGCCCCCCCUCCCCACCUGUCCCCUCUGCUCCUCCUGCACCUGUCUUCCUCUCCUCUAUCAGCCCAGGCCCUCCUCCACCUGUCCCCUCUUCUCCACCUGUCUUCACUCCUCCUCCACCUGUCCCCUCUGCCCCUCCUCCACCUGUCCCCUCUUCUCCACCUGUCUUCACUCCUCCUCCACCUGUCCCCUCUUCUCCAUCUGUCCUCACUCCUCCACCUGUCCCCUCUUCUCCACCUGUCCCCUCUGCCCCUCCUCCACCUGUCACCACCCCUCCUCUGCCUCAGCAUCUCCAAGCUUCCUGGGUUCUUAUUUCUACCCCCUCUCCUCCUAAGACCUGCCAAGUCUUAGAGGGGAGGCUGCCUCUGGCCUGGACGCAUUGGCUCUUCUCAGACCCCCUGAUGUGGAAUGCAUUCGCGGUCUCCCUGAGUCACGGUCUCCCUCGCCAUUCCUGAACCUACUUGGUGGCCGUGACACGUCGGAAGGCGGCCUGUCCGUUAUCCCAGACCGGGACUGGCCAAGCCCCACUUGUAGCACAUUGGGUCCUUUUGAGGAGCAUCUACUGGUUCCUUUAACUCCGUGGGGGAGGAGACUGUACGCGGGCAUCCGACGGAAGCGCAGGUUGAUUUAGCAGGAGGCUGCUUGUGCCAAGUGUGGGGACGGAGGUCUGUACUCCGCAGUGACCUUUCUAGAAGCUUCUACUCGUUCCCCCUUUACACACGUGACAUUUUUCUCCAACAACCUGGGUCCCACAGAUCAGGGGUCAGCAAAGGUGUCCCGCAGAGGCCCAGAUGGUGAAUAUUUCUGGCUUUGUGGGCCACGUGGUCUGUGUAGCGACUGCCCGGCUCUGCCGUGGUCACUGAGAGCAGCCGGAAGCCCUGCGCACAGGAGCGGGUGGCCGCGCUCCAAUGAAACGUAUUCAGGAGCACGGAAGGUGGGGCGCAGGAGGCCGGUGGGUUGGGGAUCGGAUGUGCUCCACAGUGGCCCAUGGUGAGGAGGUGCUGGGGUCCUGAACACGGGGUGGCCCAUUGGAAAGAGCAGACGGCCAGGCACAGUACGCGGGGCCUCAGCCAGGGUGAAGGAUGCCCUUGGGGGACAGUCUGGCGGGAAGAAUCUGGAAGAGGGGGACAUUAGGAGUUAGGAAGUUCUGUCUCUGGUGGAGGGACUGAGGUGAGCGGAGGUUGGCCAGGGCAGGUCGGGGAAGGACACAGCCUUAGCGAGAUGCUAGGAGACCUCCGGUCAGCCUCGGGCGGCCCCUGGCCCUGUUGCCACGAGCCCGGGUUCUUAGAGAUGGGUGCUGUGUCAAGCACGGCUUCACAGAGCACACCCAGCAGUCCGCGUGGCCUUGGGUCCCUGGCUCAAGGCGGCAGACGGAAACGUCAGAGUGGAGAUGCCAGCCGGAAGAGAGGUGGCCGGUGCCUCGGAGAAGCGCAGGGCGGCCACCCAGUGCCUCCUGUUGGCCUCCAGGUUGCGGGUUUGGGAGGCCGGGGGGGUCGGUCCACGCUCCCGCCGCCACAAGUGACCAGGGCCCGGGUGAGAAGCUCCCGGAACAGCCGGGGCCUUGCUGUGUUCCCACCGAGGCUCUGGCCGGAUGAAAGCCCGUCAGGGCCCCAGGCCUGGUGUUGGGAGCCGCGAGCCAUCAGGACCCUCGGCCCCGACGGUGAGGUGUGUGUCUGGCGGUGCCAGCUGGGUCCCGCCGGUGCACGUGUGUCUCCUUGGCAGAUUCUUGGGGUACCAAGGAGUGAGUUUUCCAUCUCGGCCUUGAGGUGUUUGCAGCCCACGGGGAGCACGAGCUAGAGACACGGGGGCCCCAAGAGCCCUAGGUGCACACAGCAGGAUUCGGGGGUCAGGCGGGCGCAGGGCCCCCUGGGUGUGGUGGCUGGACUCAGCCUCCUGGCACCUCGCACAGCGUGUCUCUCCUGAGACCCCCUCCCCUCUCAGCAGACCCUGGGGAGCUACUCAGACUUGGGGCAAGCCUAGCGGCCAGCAGAGCAGCCAAGACCUGGGUGUCACAUGCCGCGUGGCCCGCUGGUGACAAAGCCCUCCUGAGGGACAGAGGUCAUGCUCUGCGCCCCUGCCCCAGGCCAGCGUAGGGGAGGAGCCGGGAGAGGUCUUGCAAAUCAAGUCCACCUGACGGCCAGGCAGCGGCUCCAGGGAGGGAUGGAGACAGGGAGCGGGGACACCUUUGUGUGAUGGAAUUGUCACAUAGAUUAAGCUGGCGUUCGGCAGAAAAGAGGGCUGUCGGCCUCUUCUGUCCCAGGCCCCCAGCCACCCCACUGCCCUCGAGGGCCGUCCAGUGCUCCGAGGACGCGGAUCUGCCCCUGUGCCUUGCUUUGAGUUCAGACGAAGCUUGCUGGAUCCUCCUGACCCUCUGGGGGUGGCCCUUCCCCUCCCUCCUCCUCCCUCCUUCUGGGGAGCCGGGGCUGUGUGGGGUUAGGGUUAGGUGUGUGGGGAGGCAGGCUCUGGCAGGGACAACUGUGCGCGCCCUGAUGAUGACGUCAGCACGACCCUCCUCUGUGGCGAAGUCUGGCAGUUCCCAGCCACGCCCCAGGGCAAGGGGUUCAGUCCUGACCUGGGAUCCCACUGGCUGCCAGGAUCCCACUGACCGGAUCCCACUGGCCGGUCACAUCACUGGGUCUGACGCGCCCCCGGAAAGUUGGCACCAGGGGCCUGGACCCAGCUGGCCUCGCUGGUCAGGGCCAGAUUUUCCAGGAGCCUGGUUUCCAGGGUCAGGGGCAAUCCCCAAACCUGCUGGGGUGCAGAAAAGCUCCUCCAGGCCUCCUGCCUGGCCCUGUGCUCCCGGCCUCUGCCUGGAGCCCCUGGACAGACCCGCUGGCUCCCCACGUCCCCCUCGUGACGGAGCCGUGGGGGUUUCAUUCUCCCCGUCCCGUCGAUCCUUGGAGGGCCCCGUGACGUGGUGCUGUCCCGGCCGUGAGAGCCACGGCCACGGCCAGCACCCAGGUCUCCCUCGAGAAGCUUGUCCCUGCCUUGUUCCUCUGCCGUAAGAUGCGGAUGGAGGUGUCCCAUCCGUCCUGUCCAGGGAAGAAACCAGCCCAAACCCUGAGCUGGGGGGUGGGGGUUGUCCUCCUUGUCAAGCCCCGGUGCUGAGCUCUCUGACUCACCGCCCUGUCACCCCAGGUGGCCUGUGAGUACGGCAUGGUGCACGUGGUCUCCGAGUCAGGGGGCCCCAGAGGCAAGGACUACUGCAUUCUCUACAACCCUCAGUGGGCCCACCUGCCCCACGACCUGAGCAAAGCGGUGAGUACCCACUGGGGCGUCCCCUCUGGGGCCCUGCAGGCCCGGAGUGCUCUGGGGUGCCCCCUCCUGACUUGGGGUCCGGUCUGUGUUGCUGGCUGCCACCCUCCGCUCCCCAGCCUGCUGUCUGAGGGGACUGCUACAAGUCUUACCCUGCAGGGAACCAGCUGGAGGACAGAGGAAGGGCCUCAGCUGGGAAACCAACGUGGGGGGCCUGGUCACACUUGAGGGGCUGCUGGGGUCUCAGACGACCGUAGAGGGGCCCCAUCACCUCUCUGGGGCUUGGUUUCCUUGGUCAGAAACAAAAGGACGUUUGGGUGGUGUUGAGGCACAGCCCCUGCCGGGGGCGCUGGCCACCCCCCACGUGCUGGAUGGGCUUGUGGGUGAUUCUCACUGCCGAGGCCACGGCUCCCGCCUGCCCAGCCCGUGUUCCGUUUGCAGUGGAUGCUGGGAAGGUUUCUGGGGGCUUUUCUCUGAGCGCACGCCACCCCCUGCCCCUUCCGUUGGCCUCGCGCUCAGCCGUGUGGACGUGUGUGUGUGUGUGUGUGUGUGUGUGUGUGUGUGUGCGGCCCCCCACUGACUUUUCUAGAUCAGGUGGUGUCAACGCCCCCUUCCCCAGUCCCUCCUGCAGCUGCGGGACUGGACGGCCUCUGUGCUCUGCUCUCCGCCUGACCUCCCGGCCAAAGGCUUCAGCAACCAGAUCCCGCUGGUGGCGCGGGGAAACUGCACCUUCUACGAGAAAGUGCGGCUGGCCCAGGGCGGCGGGGCGCGCGGACUGCUCAUCGUCAGCAGGGAGACACUGGUAGGGCCCCGGGGCCUCGAGACCGGGGUUUGGUUUGCUGACCGUGGCUGCGGACCCGUGUCUCUUGGAGGGGGACCUGUUCCUGAGCAGUCGCGGGGGCUCUGGGGAGACCGGAUCCCAUCUCGCUCUACAAGGCCUCGGGGCAGAGCUCGGGGGUACCCUCUGAGGAGCAGCUGGCAUGGGCCCACAUCCCACGUGCCUGCCUCUCCCCCAGGCAGGCCCCCCUCCCCCCCCCCAGAGCAGAGUGACACCUGAGCAACCUGACCCCAAGGCUUGAACACGGAAGGAGAGCUUUUCCUCCCCCGGUGGGGAGGGGCAGACCCCCCCCCCCCGCCACACACACACACACCCCGGCCCAAGCUGCCUCCGGGAGGGCUAGCUCUUCAGGCCGCCUCGCCCUUGGGAAGCCAAGGGCCCCCCUCCCGCCACACCCUCCUCUCGGCCCCCAGGUCCCUCCAGGAGGCAACAAGACACAGUACGAGGAGAUCGGCAUUCCCGUGGCCCUGCUCAGCUACAAAGACAUGCUAGACAUUUUCAAGGUAGGGUUUCCCACGUCCUCUGGUCUGCGGCUGUUGCCAGGCCGUGAGUAUCUGGCGGGCAGGGGUGGGCAGGGACCCACGAGUGAGGCCGCCCACCCGGGGCCGGUGGUGACACUGACCCGUGGGAACGGAGACGCUGGCCCCAGCGGUCAGAGCGCCCAGGCUCCGGGGCCUCUGUGCCGAGCGGCAGCCGGACACUGGCUUCCGGGCCAGACCGGCCGGCCCCGCCCACACGCCAGAGACCCUGAGCUUGGCUCUCCCUGCCCACACACGGCCCCGUCUGACCAGAGGCCUGUGUGCACCCACCAUCGGGGGAGUUGUUGGUUCCAGAACAGGCGAGCUUCCAGACACAAUUAAAAUGGAAACGUUCAAUCUUUGUGGAAGCUUCUGGCAAUUUGCAGGACAUGUCUCGAUCCUGAUUGCAGCCUCACAGCUCCCCCAAGGGAACCAUUGUCGGCCUCCUGCAUGCUUCCCGGGACGACGUCCCCACUCCCGCACGCGCACACGCAUCUAGGUUUAGGAUUCGUGUCCCCGCACGCGCGUGGGCCCCUUCACCGGACGUCGUGUGACACUCGUUCCGACAGUUGACUUCUCUGGGGUGGGAGUGGCAGGCGAAGGCUCUCCCCGGGCCCCGGCUCCCCACGCGUGGGCUGGUCUGGGCUCUCUGGGUGGCCGAGGGGGCGGGACGGCAGCCCCCGCCUUGAGCUCUGGUGCCUUCCCCGAGGCAGAGUUUUGGCCGAUCGGCGAGGGCAGCGCUGUAUGCCCCCAACGAGCCCAUGCUUGACUACAACAUGGUCAUCAUCUUCGUCAUGGCCGUCGGCACCGUCGCCCUCGGGGGCUACUGGGCCGGGAGCCGGGACGUGAGGAAGUGAGUGUCCCGGGGAGACCUCUCCCUGGCCGCCCAGGGAAGCCCGUGACGCGGUCGGUGCCGGGUUGGGGGUCCGCGGGUGGUCCUAGCACUGGCCGAGGGCAUCGCGCCUCUUUCCAUCAAAAGCGGCCGUCACGGCUUGGCUCCUCCUGGGGCUGGGGCCCGCCUGGCAGCCCCUCGCCGCGUGGUCUCGCGAGGUCCCCGGGGUGGGGUCCGGCUCUCUCGUCGAAGGGACGGCAGGGAUGUGUGAUGGGCGUGGAGGGGCCGCCCCUCAGCCCCGCGGACGCCUGCGUCCUGCUGCCCCUGCCCGCCCCUCCCCGUCCCCGUGCCGGCCGGCAGGGUGCCCCUGACCCGGCUGUGCCUCCCAAGAAGGUCCAUGAAACACAAGCGGGAUGACGGGCCCGAGAAGCGGGAGGACGAGGCCGUGGACGUGACGCCCGUCAUGAUCUGUGUCUUCGUGGUCAUGUGCUGCUCCAUGCUGGUGUUGCUGUACUACUUCUACGACCAGCUCGGUGCGCCCCCGGCUCACCAGAGGGACGCCGAGGCCCGUACCCCCGCUCCCCGGUCCCGGGUCCCCCCUCCACCUGCUUGCGGGGUUCCACUUGAGAAGGCGGUGGUGGGGCGAACGCGGGCCGCCACCGCCGGCCCGAAGGAGGGGACCUCUGCUCGGGGAACUGUCCCUCUCGUUACCAGCUGCCGGCCACCCAGCUAGGGUGCACGAACACCUGGAGCCCUUUCUCGGGCGGGGGGCCAGGGUGGGAGACCCAGGUGGCCCCCGGCCCUCAACGCUCGCCCCACCCCGCCCCGCAGUCUAUGUGAUCAUAGGGAUCUUCUGCCUGUCCUCCUCCACGGGCCUCUACAGCUGCCUGUCUCCACUGGUCCAGAGGCUGCCGUUCGGCAGAUGUAGGUAAGCCCCCCGCGGGAGGCCCCUGCCCGGCCCUGCACCCCCGGCGCCGCUCACUGAGGUCCCACCUUGCCACCUUUCCUCGGCCUGUCCCUGGUGCGGUCUCCCGUCUCCCGGCCCCUGGAGCUCCAAGCUCUGCUUCAGUGGUGCCGAGGACCCCCUCCCUGUCCUGUGGCCCCCGGCCAGUCUGGCGUGGCGUGGGCAGGCCACGCGUGCUCACUCAGUGCAGGCUGGGGCUCGCGGCCUCAGGAGUAGGGCGGAGCAGAGAGGCGGGUGGUGGUUCCCCAGCCUCUCUCUCCCUGCAUCCCAUUCCGGGUCAGGCCCAGUGUCGACACCGGGGCUGAAGCGGGGCGAUGUGGAUGCAUGUGGGUCCAGGGCAGGGGCGGCAGGGCAGGGCCGUGUGGCCGAAGGCGCUGCCGGUCCAGGCCCCUGGGGCCCUCGGCCGCCAGGGGCCAGUGGCCGAGCGCUGAAAGGUUUGAAGGAGGGCAGGGCCGGCUCGGCGCUGGCUGGGGUCUGCCCACCCCCACGUGCCAACCCCUGCUCUGUCUGCCCUGGACCUGGGGGGCCUCCCUUCUAGAAGUCAAUUAAGAGGUCAGGGCAGAGUUCAAUAGGGAACGGAGGCGGGGGCAGCAGGAGGCCCCGUAAGGAUGAGGGGCCCAGGGUUUGGGGCAGGGGUGGAAGUGACCCUCUGGGUGCUGGGUGGAGGUGAGGAACAAGCUGGCCCUGACAGCUGCGCCCCCCCCCCCCGCCCCCAGGGUCCCCGACAACAGCCUGCCCUACUUCCACAAGCGGCCUCGGGUCGGCAUGCUGCUCCUGGCGCUGCUCUGCUUGGCCGUCAGCGUGGUGUGGGGUGUCUUCCGGAACGAGGACCAGUGAGUGCCCCCCACCGCGGGCUGUCCUCAGGUGCCCUCUGUGCUCGUCUCCCCGCGACCGUGAGCCGGGCUGUGUGGCGGCCAGGUGCCGCCCGCGUCCGGUGCCACUGGGUUUGUCGGCUGCCACGUGAACCGUGAUUGGAAUGUGGAUAUGGUUCCCGCGAAGCCUCCCGGCCCCGGGCGCCCUGAGCGAGCGCGUGGCCUCCGGGGUGCCCGCUGGUGCAGGGAGGCCCUGGCCGCCGGCCCCUGACACCACCUGGCGCUCCCUCCGAGCCUUUUCUGGGGCGGUUAACCGCUCUUGGCCGCGCUGCCGUUUGGAGCCACGACAGCUUUAAUUGGGCAGAAGGAAAACGUGAAAAUAUUUUGAGUCCUUUGUACACAAAGGGAACACGAGCUCCCACGGUUAGAUUCGAGCCACAAGACUCGCUCUGUUCUUUAAAAUUAGAGCAGGCCCAGUUCCCUCUGCGUCUGGGCGCCCACUGGCCGCCCGCAAGCCUCCUCUUUGUUCUUUGCGGCUGCCCCGGCCGGGAGAUGUUUUCAUCCCGGUCUGAUGAGUAACCUGGGCCGCGGCCUCCUUGCCGCCCCAGCGCGGGCGAGCCUGUGGACCGGGCGGGGUGGCUUGUGUGUGUGUGUGGGGGGGAGCUCCCUGCAGCUGCUGGGGUGACAGUCUUACCCGCCCCCCCCNCCCCCCCCCCCCCCCCCCCCCCCCGCCGCCACCUUGCAGUCCCUGAGCUCCCAUUUCUGGCACCAAGAGAUUUGGUGUAGAACCUGGCUGGCGAGCAUUUGGCUUUGCUAAAUCACAUAAAAAAUAGUUUUGAAGCAAACCCGAGUCCAGUAGAGUCCAAUAGUUGCACAGUGUCCCCACCCCAUCCCCCCGCCCCGUCCCGUGAUGUGGGGGUGAACGCCACCACCCAAGAGAGACAGCCCCUGAGCGUGUGCACCCAUUCCUGCCUCACUCCCCCCGCCUCCCCCCCCAGCCUUGGUCCCGUGCCUGUGUCUUCACAGCAUGGGGUCGGGCUGGGAACGGACAGCUUGCACAAGCUGGGAGCCAAGGUGGCCAAGGAGGGAGCGACCCGCCGGGUCAUAGCUCUUGGUGGAGCCCCUGCCCCAGCGGGUGACCACCACUCUGCUCCCCAGGUGGGCCUGGAUCCUUCAGGACGCACUGGGCGUCGCCUUCUGCCUCUACAUGUUGAAAACCAUCCGCCUCCCCACUUUCAAGGUGAGGGUCCCAAGGGGGUGGGGCCGCCGGAUGGGAGGGGGCUGUGUCCUCAGGGCGGCUGCAGGCCGGCCCGCCCCCGUGUCCGCCCAGGGUGUCCCGGGUCCCCUGUGGACAGCAUGUUCUUUGUGCCUCUGUCCGUCCCGCCACCUCUCUGGUGUCAGGGCUUAAGGAUCAACCGCAGGAUCGCCUCCCAGUGUGGCGGCCACGCCAGUGACAGCUUGGCGCUGAGGAUUCCCCGGGUGGGGCCGCAAGGCGGCCGCAGGGCAGGGCCCUUCCCGAGGCGGCCACCGUGGCGGUGCCGGGUCAACUUCCUGCUGGUGAGCCGCGCACACACAGGCAAAAGGGGGCGGCAGCGCCAGCGCAGGCCCCGUGGGCAGGACCGAGAAGUCCACGGGAAGACGUGAAGAAGGGGCGUCACCGCCCCAAAGCCACAGAAUGCGUGUCGCUGGAGCCACCUGCCUUCCAGCUUUUCCAUCACUCAGAACCGUGGCCUGACUCACGUGCUGCCCUGGUCUCCCGCGGCUCCAGGGGAUGGGACUGGAUUUGCUCAGAUUUGCCCCUAGCUGCUUUGUCCCGUGGGCACGGCUGAGCCUUGUGGGGGGAGGUGGGGGUGGGGACGCGGCCUGGGGGUGUGCGCCGGGGACCUUCUGAGCGCGGCCCCUCAGGACGUCCUCUCCCCAGGCCUGCACGCUGCUGCUGCUGGUGCUCUUUGUCUACGACGUCUUCUUUGUGUUCAUCACGCCCUUUCUGACCAAGGUGGGCGCCCCUGCCCUGCCCUGCCGCUGCACCCCCUGUCCCCGUGCCCCUUCUCUGACACCCCCCCCCCCUUUGUUAGAGUGGGAACAGCAUCAUGGUGGAGGUGGCAACCGGGCCCUCGGACUCGGCCACCCACGAGAAGGUACGUAGGGGGCCCCCGGCCGGGGCGCCGCCCGGAGAAGAGUGCUGGGCACGCGCGGCCCCCCGGACAUGGCACUUCCUGCUCCCCCCAGCUCCCCAUGGUCCUGAAGGUGCCCCGACUGAACGCCUCGCCGCUGGCCCUGUGUGACCGGCCCUUCUCCCUCCUGGGCUUCGGGGACAUCCUGGUGCCAGGUACUGGGGUGCGAGGUGGGCGGCCUUGGGAGCGUCCAGUGGGUGGAGCCUGAGCGGAGCAGGCCGGGUUUGCCCCCUGGGUGGCGGGCUGGCCGCCGAGCCCCGUCUGAAAGCAGGGACGGCCGUCACACGGGACGCCGCCGGGCCCACGCGCCUUCUCCCCGCAGGGCUGCUCGUGGCCUACUGCCACAGGUUCGACAUCCAGGUGCAGUCGUCCAGGGUCUACUUUGUAGCCUGCACCGUGGGUAAGCGCCCUCCUUGUAUCUGUCCGUCCUUCGUUCUGUCCUUGUCCCCCACUUCUUUCUUUGGUUACCAAAGCCAUUGCUACAGAACCGACCUGUCCUGUGGAGCCCGAUUGCUUUGAGAGUUUUCCAGACCGGCCGGCCUGCUCACCUCUGGUCAGCCCUUCCGGAGGAGCAGCGAGCCUGCCCGAUGGCGCCUGUCCGUGUGCAUGCGUGUCCCCCGCCAUGGGGGAGCCAGGCUGGGGGAGGGGCUGCCUGACGACUCCCUCCCCCGCGUCGUGGGCCGCGUGCACAGGCCCCGGCAGCCCACCCCGGCAGAGGCGAGGCCCUGUAAAUGCCCCUGGGAGCACCAGGACGACCGGGGCUGACCUUCCGGGCGUACCUUGGGGUCGCCUGUGUCUUCCCACCCCGGUGGCUACGGCUGCAGGCACGCCCCCCUCGUCCCCUUUGCCGGCCCUAAACCUUCCCUUGGGCUUUACACACCACACUCAUCCUUCAGGUACCGUUGCAAGGGCUUUGUGUGUGUGAGCCGCUUGGCCGGCUUGUGUGUGUGGUUCCUUGUCGAGCCUGCGGACCUUGCGGGCAGCGGGCGCCUUUCUCCUCCGCAGCCGCAGCCGCAGCCCGCUCCCGUGGACCGCCGGUAAGUGACGCACAGCUCUCCCCGGAGGUGAGGACCGCCGAGCGAGCCGCGAUCUCGGAGGAGGUUACUGUAGCCUAACUCCUCGAGGAGACGGUUGCGGAUUUACCGCUGCAGGAUUAGCGCAAAGAGCGCCUGCACGCCGGCCCUCGGGUCCAGCAGCGUGUGCGUGCGUGACUGUGUGUGCAAGUACGUGUGUGUGCGUGCGCAAACGCGCGUCCUUCUAUGCUGGCGCUCACGUAUGGAACCGACGUGCGGGAUUUAUUCGGACCUUCGCCCCUCGGGGCUCCGUCGGGUAUCUCAUGAGAAUGGAAACAGCCUUUCGAACGAUCACAGCUUGUUACGAACAUUUGCUUUUGUAACUUUGUGCGGACGUUACUCUUCUCCAGAAUUCUCUUCCUAGCCAGAGGCUGAGCAGACAGGUGCUCAGGCAGUUAACGGGCCUUUCUCUCACUGCCCCUGUGGCUCCAGACCCGGGGCUCAGCCAUGGAGCCUUGCUCAUUCCCGCCUUCUCGCUGGCGCCCGGUGGGACCGGGCAGGGGUGUGUGUGCCGGAAGACGCAGGCGCAUCCGUGCGCAGGCAGGCAGCCCCCUGCCUGCCCCGGGUGCCCCAUGCGCUACCGUGUGGCGGGCGCCCCGCCUCUCCGGUCCCCGUUCCGGCAUCCCGGCCGCAGGCGGGUGCUGGGCCGCGGGGCCACCCGUGGGGGUAACACGCCGCCCGUCUCUCCCUGCAGCCUACGGGAUCGGCCUCCUGGUGACGUUCAUGGCGCUGGCCCUCAUGCAGCGCGGCCAGCCCGCCCUCCUCUACCUGGUGCCCUGCACGCUGAUGAUAAGCUGCGCCCUGGCGCUCUGGCGCAGGGAGCUGGGCAUGUUCUGGACGGGCAGCGGCUUUGCGGUGAAUACCCGUUUGCUAUGACUGUCUGCGAGAAAUAAUAACCCAAUAAGCCCUAACUAGAGUUAAAGUUGAGUAAAACCUCCUAGUUUCACGACUAAACCCCGCGGCCUCUGUCCCCGUUCCCAGAAGGUUCUGUUUGGUGUCCUGUCCGUGUGGCUCUGAAGGGUCCGAGCCGUCCCAGCAGAGGGGACGCGCUUGUGCCGUCCCACUGGGUGUGGCUUGAGGAUGGUGCUAACAGCCCUUUACUAGAGGUGCCAGUCCCGAGGGACCGUAACACCCCAUGUGAUGGGAUACUGGCUUCCGGCUGCUUCAGCCCUUGGGAACACAGUGCCGAGCUGGGGGGGCCCCCGAGGUCCUCUGCCAGGGUGGGGGCUGUCCGCCCAGGACGGGGAAAGGGCAGGGGGCCCGGGGGCAAGCUGUGCAAGGCCAGGUGGAGGAACCCAAGCUCAGCCUGUGGCGCCACCGCCCCCCUCGUGGAGUGGAUCACGGCCAGUGGCUUGCUGUUCCUGGUUUUUGAGACAGAAGAGGAGAGGGACGGAGGCCACUCUUGGUGCAGCGCAGCACAUUCGAUGGGACGAGGGCACGUGUUUCAGUGGCGCAGGGACAGAGCUGACGCCCUGCGGGUAUGGAAAGGCUGCGGCUGCCUCUGCUGCCCUGUCAGUAGCACACAGAGGCGGGCGACACCGGGACCAGCCUUGUCAGUUACAGGAGCUCCUGAGUGUGACAUGUGUCCCUCUGGAGCGCUGCUGGUUGAGUGUGGUGUUACCGUGCCAGGUUUUGUGGAAGUUGAAACUCGCACCCUCUCCGUCCUGGCCUAGAGGCGCCGAACGGAGCAGGGCCCCAGGUUAACCUGAUAGAUGAACCAGAUAACGUAACCGAUGGAUGAUAGGGCCUUGGGCCCUCCCGCGGGCCCUCGGGGAAACGCUCCCGGCUUCAUCGCCCACCGUCCUCAGAGGCUCUCAGUCCCGAGGAGUGCUGGCUUUGCCACAGGGCAAAGUUCUGGAAGGUUCAGGAGGCCGGGGAACAAGGCUCAGCGUUUCUGCAUUGGGUCACCGGCCUGUGGUCCCGCCUUCUGGCUGGUGCUACUUGGCCCCAAGGGAAGGUGGCUCCUGGGUCUGGAGCUGGACCCUCGGGGGACGGUGACUCAUCUGCCCUCCCCUGUCCACUGUCCCCGGGCUUUCCUGUCCUCGUCCCACGCCUGACUGUGGCCUCUUCUCUUACAGAAGGACCUACCUCAGUCUCCUUGGGCGGCGUCUUCAGCCGACGGCCCCCAGCCCCAGACGGACUCAGACACUGGCCUCUCCCAGCCGCCUCCAGGCGAAGGACUGGCCAAGUGCUCCCUGCCCACGAAGCAGCCCCCGGCAUUGUCUGCGCCCGAGGAGACGGGGGCCAGAGCACCCCCCCAGGAGCCCACGAGCCCAGCCAGCCGCCCCCCUGAACCCACAGGCCCGGUAGGCACCUCGGCCUAGAUGAUGGCGCAGACUCUCGGGCCCUCGCUGCCGCCCCUCUGCGCCGAGAGACCCCGAGACUGGACGUGCUCGGCCCUCCCCCCCCCAACUUGGUGCUCUGGUCUGGCCGAUGUCCCCGCUCUUCCUCCUCCUUGAGCAGAGCCCAGCUGCACCCUGGACCCUCUCCAGCUCCUGCUCCCGGCCCGAGUGGCUGCCGCGAGCCCCCGGACCGACGAGGUCACCCGUGUGGAGCGCCCAGCUCCGCGGUCUUGCCUGUCGACUCGGUGGUUCCUCGGAAAGGGCAGGAAGUGCCGCCUCCGACCGCCCACGGCUGCAGAUCCGCCCACAUCUGGUGCUUACCUUGCCGCCACUUCCCUCAGGUUCUCUCCUGUGCCGCGCCUGCGCGUCCCCAGGGACGCUGGCCAGCAGAGCCCAGUCCGGCACCUGGGCCCUGGAUGUCUGGACUCAGGAUGCGGGCCCGGCUGGCCGGGUCGGACCUGCCUCUGUGUCGGCAGGGACUGCAAGCGGCGCCCGGCGUGACGGGCCACCCCUCUCGGGCCCGCCUGGCUCUUCCAGCAGCCAGGGCCG
rnacentral:lncRNA from 1 species